UACGUAGGGUGCAAGCGUUAAUCGGAAUUACUGGGCGCAAAGCGUGCGCAGGCGGCCAUGCAAGACAGAUGUGAAAUCCCCGGGCUCAACCUGGGAACUGCAUUUGUGACUGCAUGGCUAGAGUACGGUAGAGGGGGAUGGAAUUCCGCGUGUAGCAGUGAAAUGCGUAGAUAUGCGGAGGAACACCGAUGGCGAAGGCAAUCCCCUGGACCUGUACUGACGCUCAUGCACGAAAGCGUGGGGAGCAAACAGG
rnacentral:rRNA from 1 species